rnacentral:lncRNA from 1 species
AUGGACUGCGAGGAGAACUGCUUCCGGUGUCAGAGGUGUGAGCACAGCGCCGUCCUUCGACCCUGCAAUGCCACCAGGGACGCGGUUUGUGCCGACAGACCUCACCCACAGCCGGGUAAGGGUCUUACGUGCAUGGAGGGAGGAGGUCCCUGGUGGCCCAGCAGUUAUGACCCGGUGUUGUCACGGCUGUGGCUCAGGUUCAGUGCCUGGCCUAGGAACUUCCAGGACCUACCCCAUCUUCGUGGGGCCUUUUUUGUCCCGUUAUCAGGUCUCCUGGGGGCACAGGGCCUGCCUUUGAUGGUGGUAGUGUGUGUGGCGGUUUUUGCUGCGCCGGGUGGUGCAGUUGGGACCAUCGAGCCCGAGCGCCCGUCGGAGGUUUCAGGCCCUUGGCGGCCUCUCUGGCGGUCAGAGCUCCAGGCGCCUCCCAGGCCCCGCGGCCCCGCCCUGAGCCCAGGCUUGGGCCUGAGCAGAAGGCUGGGGGCGGCCUACCUCCCUCCAGGAGGCCUGGGGGCGGUGCUCAGCUCCGGGCCUGGAGGACGGCUGUGCUGCCCCCUCCGCCGAGAGCCGGGCCCCCUGGCUGCGGGGCUUGUCACCUGGCUGAGGAGAGUGGCCCUGACCCUGCAGGAUCGAACCUCUGUGUUGCCUCCUUCCAGGAGACGGCAGCACGUUGUUCAUCGUUCUGGGGGCCCUGGCCCUGCUCAUCCCCGGCCCCAUCGUGUUCUGCUGUAGAAGACGCAGUAAGUCAGAGUCAGAUGGAUCCUGGAGAAAACCCGAGUGGAAAGAGCGUUGGAAACGGGGUCCGGGCUUCGUGACCAGGCGCUUGGGGUCUGAACGCAGUUCUGGGGCCUCCUCGUCCGGGGGCCCCUCUCGGGUCUGAGCUCAGAGCCGCCGGCCCCGCGCGCCCCGACGUGCGGGGCUUAAGAGCAGAGGCUCAGGUCCGCUGGCGGGAGCCGGGGUGUCCGGGGCGCCCUGGGCCGGGAAGCAGGGACGGACAGGUGCUGCUCCAGCCAAGGGGCAAAGUGGGGGAGGCGGGGCCGCCUGACUAAGUCCCUGUCCUGCCUUUUCCCAGUCUUGCGGCUCUUCCAGUGGGUGGCCAGUCGCUGGAAAGGUAAGGACGACUUCUUUUCCUUUUGAUUGAGGGCCGCUCCCGCGUCACCUGGAAACGCCCAGGCUAGGGGUCCAUUCAGGGCCACAGCUGCCGGCCUCCCCCAAGCCACAGCAGCCCGGGAUCUGAGCCACGUCU